rnacentral:rRNA from 1 species
GACGAACGCUGGCGGCGUGCUUAACACAUGCAAGUCGAACGGAAAGGCCCUGCUUUUGUGGGGUGCUCGAGUGGCGAACGGGUGAGUAACACGUGAGUAACCUGCCCUUGACUUUGGGAUAACUUCAGGAAACUGGGGCUAAUACCGGAUAGGAGCUCCUGCUGCAUGGUGGGGGUUGGAAAGUUUCGGCGGUUGGGGAUGGACUCGCGGCUUAUCAGCUUGUUGGUGGGGUAGUGGCUUACCAAGGCUUUGACGGGUAGCCGGCCUGAGAGGGGGACCGGCCACAUUGGGACUGAGAUACGGACCAGACUCCUACGGGAGGCAGCAGUGGGGAAUAUUGCAGAAUGGGCGGAAGCCUGAUGCAGCAACGCCGCGUGCGGGAUGACGGCCUUCGGGUUGUAAACCGCUUUCGCCUGUGACGAAGCGUGAGUGACGGUAAUGGGUAAAGAAGCACCGGCUAACUACGUG